UGGCGAUGAAAGGGUUAGCCCAUCGCCGAACUGCAAGUCGUCCUGGCUUCGCGGAAUGUGGCGUUUGGAAGGGUCUCUUCCAGGUUUGAGACGCCUGUCAAAGUCCAACUUGACAGUGGCUACAGCCCGUAGAGGGUGAUAGGCCCGUGAGGCGGUGUCUCUUUCCUGCUGACCUUUUCCUCGAGUCGGGUUGCUUGGGAGUGCAGCCCAAAGUACGAGGUAAACUCCUCGUAAGGCUAAAUAUGACCCCGAGACCGAUAGCAAACAAGUACAGUGAUGGAAAUUUGAAAAGAACUUUGAAGAGAGAGUUAAGAGUACGUGAAACUGUAUGGUAGCAAACGGAGCUUCCCUCGAAGUUUUCCCCCUGGACCCAGCCUUAGGUUUCGGGCAGCCCUGGUUGUCGGAUCAGCAAUGACCGGCCUCUGGGAGCCUGCUCGCUCCGCGGGUGCAUCUCCAGGGGGUUCAACGGCGGGAACUGUUGGACUUGGACCGAAGGCCUGGGAUGAAGUUUUCGCUCCGGCGUCAGCUCCCGGUGUCCUGGCUCUGAGGCCCGACAGGCAUGUGGCCGACUUGUACAGCAAGCAACCCUUACUGUUGCGGUCGGCCUUUCCCCGUCGAGUAGGUCGGUGGAAGCUCUGACCCGUCUUGAAACACGGACC
rnacentral:rRNA from 1 species